rnacentral:rRNA from 1 species
AUCGAACGCUGGCGGCAGGCUUAACACAUGCAAGUCGAGCGGAGAUGAGGUGCUUGCACCUUAUCUUAGCGGCGGACGGGUGAGUAAUGCUUAGGAAUCUGCCUAUUAGUGGGGGACAACAUUCCGAAAGGAAUGCUAAUACCGCAUACGUCCUACGGGAGAAAGCAGGGGAUCUUCGGACCUUGCGCUAAUAGAUGAGCCUAAGUCGGAUUAGCUAGUUGGUGGGGUAAAGGCCUACCAAGGCGACGAUCUGUAGCGGGUCUGAGAGGAUGAUCCGCCACACUGGGACUGAGAACCGGCCCAGACUCCUACGGGAGGCAGCAGUGGGGAAUAUUGGACAAUGGGGGGGACCCUGAUCCAGCCAUGCCGCGUGUGUGAAGAAGGCCUUAUGGUUGUAAAGCACUUUAAGCGAGGAGGAGGCUACUGAGACUAAUACUCUUGGAUAGUGGACGUUACUCGCAGAAUAAGCACCGGCUAACUCUGUGCCAGCCGCCGCCGUAACAC